rnacentral:rRNA from 1 species
GACGAACGCUGGCGGCGUGCUUAACACAUGCAAGUCGAACGGAAAGGCCCUGCUUUUGUGGGGUGCUCGAGUGGCGAACGGGUGAGUAACACGUGAGUAACCUGCCCUUGACUUUGGGAUAACUUCAGGAAACUGGGGCUAAUACCGGAUAGGAGCUCCUGCUUCAUGGUGGGGGUUGGAAAGUUUCGGCGGUUGGGGAUGGACUCGCGGCUUAUCAGCUUGUUGGUGGGGUAGUGUCUUACCAAGGCUUUGACGGGUAGCCGGCCUGAGAGGGUGACCGGCCACAUUGGGACUGAGAUACGGCCCAGACUCCUACGGGAGGCAGCAGUGGGGAAUAUUGCACAAUGGGCGGGAGCCUGAUGCAGCAACGCCGCGUGCGGGAUGACGGCCUUCGGGUUGUAAACCGCUUUCGCCUGUGACGAAGCGUGAGUGACGGUAAUGGGUAAAGAAGCACCGGCUAACUACGUG